rnacentral:rRNA from 1 species
AUGACUGAGGCGGUGAAGGAGGUGGCAACAGCCAUCAGGGAGUGCAAGCCCCUCGACGUCCACCCUGACCUGUAUGGCGCUGUCAUGACCCAGGGUGGCUUCAGCGACGAGGCUUUCAUGGCAGCUCUCAGCCACCUGCUUGACAACAAGGCCCAGGGUGUUGGGUUCGUUGCCAUGGCCGACGCUCACAGGGGCAAGUGGUAUGCCGUGUUCAUUGGUGAGGUUCCAGGGAUUUAUAGUUCAUGUGAAGAAGCCAAUGCACAAGUGGCAUCGUAUAGCAACAACAACUAUAGAGGGUUCAAGACUAAGCAGGCAGCAGAACAAGCUUACUCCGCCUGGGUGCGAAAGCACGGAGGCAGCAGUGUCGACAGUGCCAAGGUUGGAGCUGUCAAAGUAGAAGCUGCUAAGGUGGAUCGUCAGUUCGGCCUGAAGCUGAAGAACUUCAUCAUCUUCGCCCAGUUCGUCACCAUUGCUGUGUUGUGGCGUUGGUGUGCUAGGUGUGAUCAUUGUGGGUAA